GAUGAACGCUGGCGGCGUGCCUAAUACAUGCAAGUCGAGCGAACGGACGAGAAGCUUGCUUCUCUCAUGUUAGCGGCGGACGGGUGAGUAACACGUGGAUAACCUACCUAUAAGACUGGGAUAACUUCGGGAAACCGGAUCUAAUACCGGAUGAUAUUUUGAACCGCAUGGUUCAAAAGUGAAAGACGGUCUUGCUGUCACUUAUAGAUGGAUCCGCGCUGCAUUAGCUAGUUGGUAAGGUAACGGCUUACCAAGGCAACGAUGCAUAGCCGACCUGAGAGGGUGAUCGGCCACACUGGAACUGAGACACGGUCCAGACUCCUACGGGAGGCAGCAGUGGGGAAUCUUCCGCAAUGGGCGCAAGCCUGACGGAGCAACGCCGCGUGAGUGAUGAAGGUCUUCGGAUCGUAAAACUCUGUUAUUAGGGAAGAACAUAUGUGUAAGUAACUGUGCACAUCUUGACGGUACCUAAUCAGAAAGCAACGGCUAACUACGUG
rnacentral:rRNA from 1 species